AGUCACUGACAUUAGAUACCCGCGUAGUCCAGGGUGUAAACGCUGCAGACUUGGUGUUGGAAGCCCUUUGGGGGCAUUCAGUGCCGGAGAGAAGUUGUUAAGUCUGCUACUUGGGGAGUACGUCCGCAAGGAUGAAACUUAAAGGAAUUGGCGGGGGAGCACCGCAACGGGAGGAGCGUGCGGUUUAAUUGGAUUCAACACCGUAAACUCACCAGGGAAGACUGUUACAUGAAGGCCGAGAUGAAGACUCUGCUAGAUUUUUCAG
rnacentral:rRNA from 1 species